CUGCAGGAUUGUGAGCGGAAGUGAAGUUUCUUCCUGUUUCAGGAGAGAUGCCUGAGGUAGUGAUUCCUGUUCUUCGCUGUCUCCAGAAUGUAGGAGAAGAUCAGUGUUGCAGGCAAUGAAAGUUGCCAGAUGAAGUUAAGACUUUUUUGUCUGCUUUGGUCGACAAUAGUUCUUGCAGAAUUAAAGCCAGCUAAGUGACUCGCCACACAUUAUUUCGACAAAGGAUGCAUCUGGCUCAGUUGUGAACUAGUUUACAGUACUCCCUAUUCAUUUUUGUUAAAGGUUAACAAAACUGUUUAGACAACUUUAAUGGCUGUUCAUCAGUCUUUGGCUUGAAGUUGAUUAAUGGGGCUCAUUUCUGCAGUGAAUUCUUUAAUUGCUCCUUAUUUACUAGAGGGA
rnacentral:lncRNA from 1 species